AAUAGAGGCGCAGCCGACAGGAGUACCGCCUGGGAGCCCCGGCCAGGGCUAUGAGUGGGCGAAAAAGGGAAGGCUGCCGAAAUGCGGGCAGGGCCGAUGGACCGCGUUGGGCAUGGGGAGAAUAUCUCCAUGACUGUCAUGGCAAAGCCAUGGAGUGCUAUUU
rnacentral:ncRNA from 1 species